CACGUAGGGUCCGAGCGUUGUCCGGAAUUACUGGGCGUAAAGCGCGCGCAGGCGGUCGGGUUCGUCGCUGGUGAAAGCCCCACGCUCAACGUGGGAAGGGCCGGCGAGACAGCCCGACUGGAGGCAGGGAGAGGUCGGUGGAAUUCCGGGUGUAGUGGUGAAAUGCGUAGAGAUGGGGGAGAACACUCGUGGCGAAGGCGGCCAGCUAGACCAGUUCUGACACUGAGGCGCGACAGCGUGGGGAGCAAACAGG
rnacentral:rRNA from 1 species